rnacentral:ribozyme from 1 species
GGAAGAAAGAGAUCAGAGAGAGACGAGAGACGUGUUGUUCUUGUUGUUGUUUGUUGUUUUGAUGCUUCUUUUUCGUUUUUUUUU